CUGUGUACGCAACAAAGAUUCCUAGACGAUAUGAUGUCACCUCGGUGUCAAAAUUAGUCAGUGACCAAAAAAAUACAGGAAUCCCCCUUAUCGCAAUGUGAAAUGGUGUCUGCAAUUCAAACAUAUCGAUCAUUAACGUGGCUUUGCAAAACGACUAGUACGAGAGGAAACGAUGCAACAGUACAAAAUGAAAUAGGAUAAAUAUCUGUUUACGCACAGACACUUUGGGAGACAUAUUUCUAGUGCAUAGGUAGUUGGGUAGCUGUUGAUAAAUCCAUGUCAAAUAAGCAUAUUGUUGUACUUUAAAACGAACGAAUAAAAAGUAAACAUGUCUUAAAAGAUAAGAUGCUUGGUACGAAUAGGAAAGAUAACGACUAACUUCUAUCAGCAGAGUUACUGUCCAUUUCAGUGUAGAUGUGUCGCUACAAAGGAGGAAUUAACAUUUUUCUAGUCCUAGGCCGUUCAAAUAGAUAUCCACAAUUUGAAGAACAAUUAAACAACAUUAUCUUUUCCAAUUUCAAUAUUUGAAUGAAAUUUGCUCAUAAAUGUGCUUUCCUUUGUGGUUGAAUGAGAAAAUAAUGACAAGACUAUAAAAUCAUGUGCGAUUUAAAAGACGAAAAUAAAAAAAAAGUCGACAAUACGAACGAUUAUUAAAAAUCGUUUUACAUCCUUAAAGUAUUGUUUAUCAUCAUUAGAAGCAUAAUCCGAAAGAUACCAUGGUCUACGAUAUAUGUGCUCUUUGUAAAUUUUGAUGUUUAUACUUUUUUUUGAUGUGGGUCAGGUUUGUGACUGGGAAUUUGGAGUAAGCUGCGCUCAUGCUUCUUAGCGAUAAUUAGCAUAGUUUAAUGCUUUUUUAAUGAAUAAUUUAUAUAGAUGUUAGGUUUUAAAACGCAGAUUUCUUAUUCAUAUGGAAUUCUACUAAUUUCUUAUGUAGCACACGGAGUAUAAUAUAUUUUGCUAAUCAAUAAGUUAACCGCCAACCUGAAAUAUUAGAAUACUCAUCUACUUUGAGCUGUUCCAGGUUACAAUUGUACAAGUAGUAUC